CCCCUCGAUGACGAGGAGAUGGUGUCCUACAUCCUAACUGGGCUCGAUUUGGAGUUCAAUUCGGUCGUCUCAGCGAUGUUGGCUCAAGUAGAGCCCAUCAUCGUCACAGGGCUCUACACCUAGCUUCUUGCGUUCGAGU
rnacentral:snoRNA from 1 species